rnacentral:rRNA from 1 species
AGUUGAUCAUGGCUCAGAACGAACGCUGGCGGCAUGGAUUAGGCAUGCAAGUCGAACGGGAGCAGCAAUGCUCCAGUGGCGCAAGGGUGAGGAACACGUGAACAACCUGCCUUCGAGUUGGGGAUAGCUUCUGGAAACGGGAGAUAAUACCGAAUAACAUCAUUUUCUCGCAUGGGGAUUUGAUCAAAGCAGCAAUGCGCUUGAAGAGGGGUUCGCGUCCCAUUAGCUAGUUGGUGAGGUAACGGCCCACCAAGGCGAUGAUGCAUAGCCGGCCUGAGAGGGUGAACGGCCACAUUGGGGACUGAGACACGGCCCAGACUCCUACGGGAGGCAGCAGUAGGGAAUUUUUGGCAAUGGGCGCAAGCCUGACCGAGCAACGCCGCGUGAAGUGAAGAAGGUUUUCGGAUUGUAAAGCUCUGUUGUAAGGGAAGAAUGGCAGGGAAAGAAUCUCUGAGUGACGGUACCUUACCAGAAAGCCACGGCUAACUACGUGCCAGCCGCUGC